ACGAGUGGACUGAAAUACCCCUCCACAUGAGGGACAUAUGAUUAAAAUGUAACGAAUUUGGCAAGAAUUUGACAAAAAUUGAUACAUACGCUUUAAUUACUCGGAAUUGAAAAUUAAAAGAAUAAAAUUGAUAAAAUUGAAAUUAUAGAGACCAAAGUAAUAAAACACCAAUGGGAUGUUAGUUAGAUUAGUUGAGGCCUUUAGUGUGCUCCCAAGUGAUCGUAGGUUCAAGCCCCCCUUGGUACCGUGUGUGUG
rnacentral:lncRNA from 1 species